ACAUGGGCGUGAUUGACAGGCUAAUGACUUUUCUCGAUUCCAUGGAUGGUGGUGCAUGGUCGCACUUAGUUGGUGCAGUGAUUUGUCAGGUUUAUUCCGGUAACGAACGAGACCUCGGCCUUGUAAAUAGCUAUGCUGCUUACAGGGACAUUGGCGGCUACGCCAAGGAAGCUCGAGGCAAUUGCAGAUCUGGGAUGCCCUUAGAUGUCCUGGGUCGCACGCGUGCUACAAUGACGCCACGAACGAGCUUGCGUGAUGAAAGUUACGCAUAAUCAGCAGUCGGCGUCUUAAGGGAUAGUCUCUUGUAACUGUGGGACUCCAACUAGGAAUGUCUCGUAAGCACAAGUCAACAUCUUGUGUUGAUUACGUCCCUGCUCUUUGUACACACCGCCCGUCGCUCCUACCGAUCGAGUGUUUUGUGAAUUUGAUGGACGUAAGGAAGUCAAAUAACCGAGCACUAGAGAAGAGAGCUCAGGAGCUGUAUCGAUAUUCUGGGCAGG
rnacentral:rRNA from 1 species